AAGGGCUACAAGAGGUAGCUUCAUCUUACCCUGCUCCAAAGAUCCCCCAGAAGAGAUGUCAGCUCUGUGUGCCCAGACUCAGCUUUUACAGCUUCUACCUAAAGCCCUGGGUAUCGUGAGCACCUGAUUUACUCCAUGACUCUGAUGCUUAUCAACAACGCGUGAAGAUUGCAAUAAGGAUCCUCCCUGGAAGGCGAGGAGGAGUGACUUCCAGGGGGCUGGGAGGAGGUGGAGUGCAGCGCGGCUCUCGCCUAUAAGGAGGUGCCCAGCGCCCGGCUGCUGCUUCCCAGCCGCAGCUCGGGAGGUGAAUUUCCGAGGCAGCAGCUGGGGGAGCGGGCUGGGCUCGGGCGCUGCUGCCGGAGCUUGGAGUGGCUCCUCCAAGGGUCGCGGAGGAGGGUCCCUUGGCCGCCCCCCGCCUUCACCCGAAGUCCCUGGAUGCUGAUGGAGUAAAUGAGCGGAGGAAGAGGGAGCGCACAAAGGCUGAGAGGCGCUCGGAGAUCGGGACCAGGGGAGAGAGGCAGGCGGCUGGCUUCCCCCUUCGGGGCUGAACAUGGAUUCCCGGGCCCUCUGGGGCUUCACUCUGCUGCUUUUCAGUUUUUUGCACCUGGGAUUAACUGCAACAAAUUAUAAUUGUGAUGAUGCAUUGGUAUCUCCCUUACCUUCAUCAGCCCUUACCAGUUCCUCUGAGCUCUUCAGUACCCACAGUCCCAGCUUUGCAAAGCUCAACAGGCGAGAUGGAGCUGGUGGCUGGUCCCCAUUGGACUCAAAUGAGCAGCAGUGGCUGCAGGUUGAUCUGGGAGACCGAGUGGAGAUUGUCGCAGUCGCUACCCAGGGCAGGUAUGGGAGCUCAGACUGGGUGACCAGCUACACGCUGAUGUUCAGCGAUACCGGCCGCAACUGGAGACAGUACAGACAAGAUGACACGGUCUGGGUUUUCACAGGGAACAGCAAUGCUGACAGUGUGGUUCACCACAAGUUCCUGCACUCCAUGAAAGCCCGAUUCUUGCGCUUUGUUCCUCUGAAGUGGAAUGUCGGUGGACGGAUAGGACUGAGAGUUGAGGUCUUCGGCUGCUCCUAUAAGUCAGAUAUUGCAGACUUUGAUGGCAGAAGUUCACUCCUCUACAGGUUCAAUCAGAAGCUUAUGAGCACUUUCAAAGAUGUGGUUUCCUUGAAGUUCAAGAGCAUGCAGGGGGAUGGAGUCUUAUUCCAUGGAGAAGGGCAGCGUGGAGACUACAUCACCUUAGAACUGCAGAAAGGGAAGCUCUCCUUGCACAUCAGUCUGGGGGACUCUAACCUACACUUCAGUAACAGCCACACGUCUGUCACCCUGGGCAGCCUCCUGGAUGACCAGCAAUGGCAUUCGGUUCUCAUAGAGCGCUUCAACAAGCAAGUGAACUUCACAGUGGACAAACACACCCAGCAUUUCCGAACAAAGGGGGAUUCAGAUCACUUGGAUAUUGAUUAUGAGCUCAGUUUCGGAGGGAUUCCUGUCCCGGGAAAACCAGGAACCUUUCAGAGGAAAAAUUUCCAUGGGUGCAUUGAGAACCUUUAUUACAACGGAGUCAAUAUAAUUGACCUGGCAAAAAGGCGCAAACCUCAGAUCUAUACUGUGGGGAACGUGACAUUUUCCUGCUCUGAACCACAAAUUGUUCCUAUCACCUUCAUCAGUGCCAGUCGAAGCUACUUGUUACUACCCGGCACUCCUCAAAUUGAUGGUUUGUCAGUCAGCUUCCAGUUUCGAACAUGGAAUAAAGAUGGCUUACUUCUGUUCACCAAAUUGUCUGAAAAUUCAGGACCUCUCUUGGUUUACCUCCAUAGUGGGAGACUGACACUGCUUAUUCAGAAAGAGACAGAGAACCCAGUGGAAAUCAGUGAAGGAACAAAUCUCCAUGAUGGGCUUUGGCAUUCUGUUAAUAUCAAUGCCAGAAGACAUCGCAUUACCCUGACGCUGGACAACAAUGCUGCCACUGCUAGCCACGCAACCACAGUCUCCAGGAUCUACUCUGGGAAUAGCUACUAUUUUGGAGGGUGCCCUGACAAUUUCACUGAUUCCCGAUGUUUAAAUCCCAUUACUGCUUUUCAAGGCUGUAUGAGGCUCAUCUUUAUUGAUAACCAGCCCAAGGACCUCAUUUUAGUUCAGCAAGGCUCCCUGGGGAAUUUUAGUGAUUUACACAUGGAUCUGUGUGGCAUCAAAGACAGAUGUUUACCCAACUACUGUGAACAUGGAGGAAAAUGCACUCAGUCCUGGGCCACGUUUUACUGUGAUUGUAAUGGUACAGACUACAUGGGAGCUACUUGUCAUAACUCUAUCUAUGAACGAUCUUGUGAGGCUUACCGACACCAAGGGAGGACAUCAGGUUUCUUCUACAUUGAUUCUGAUGGAAGUGGACCACUUGGACCUCUCCGAGUUUUUUGCAAUAUAACAGAAGAUAAAAUCUGGACUACAGUGCAGCACAACAACACAGGGCUAACCAGAGUCCAAGGAGCUGGUCCGGAGAAGCCGUACACCAUGCCCUUUAACUACAACAGCAGUCUGGAGCAGCUUGAAGCCAUGAUAAACAGUGCAGAGUACUGCGAACAGGAGACAGCCUACCACUGCAAAAAGUCACGUCUCUUGAACACUCCGAAUGGAAUGCCAUUUGCUUGGUGGGUUGGCCGUGCCAAUGAAAAGCAUCUUUACUGGGGAGGAUCUCUUCCGGGCAUUCAACAGUGUGCAUGUGGACUGGAAGAAAGUUGUCUGGAUAUGAGAUAUUUUUGCAACUGUGACGCAGAUAGAGAAGAAUGGACAAAUGAUACCGGCCUUCUUACUUUCAAAGACCAUUUGCCUGUAACUCAGAUGGUGAUCACUGAUACAAACAGAUCAAAUUCUGAGGCUGCCUGGAAAAUCGGCCCUUUGCGUUGCUAUGGAGACAGGCAGUUCUGGAAUGCCGCUUCGUUCAACACAGAGGCCUCCUAUCUGCACUUCCCCACCUUCCAUGCUGAGGUCAGCGCGGACAUCUCCUUCUUCUUCAAAACUACCACCAUCUCUGGGGUGUUUUUGGAAAACCUUGGGAUUAAAGACUUCAUACGAGUUGAAAUAAGCUCCCCAAAAGAGAUCACCUUCUCCGUAGAUGUUGGGAAUGGCCCCACAGAAGCUACUGUGCAGUCUCCUACACCCCUGAAUGACAAUCAAUGGCACUAUGUCCGAGCAGAGAGGAACCUCAAGCAAACUUCUCUCCAGGUGGACAAUCUGCCCAAGAAGGUCCUGGAGGCACCUGCUGAGGGGCAUUUCCGCUUGCAGCUCAACAGUCAAUUAUUUGUAGGGGGAUCAGCUUCCAGACAAAAGGGAUUUUUGGGAUGCAUUCGAUCUCUGCAUUUAAAUGGACAGAAACUUGACCUUGAAGAGAGAGCUAAAAUGACGUCUGGUGUUAAACCUGGAUGUCCAGGACAUUGCAGCAGUUAUGGUAACCUGUGCCAUAAUGGAGGAAAAUGUGUGGAGAAGUAUAAUGGUUACUCCUGUGAUUGUACCAACUCAGCCUAUGAAGGACCUUUCUGCAAGGAAGAGGUUUCCGCAUUAUUUGAAGCUGGCACUUCCGUUACCUAUAUUUUCCAAGAACCUUACCCUGUAACAAAAAACGCAAGCACCUCAAGCUCUGCCAUUUAUGCGGAUGCUGUCAUGUCCAAGGAAAAUAUUGCAUUCAGCUUUCUCACGGCACAUACUCCAAGCCUUCUGCUCUACAUCAACACCUACUUUCAUGAAUAUUUGGCUGUGAUUCUCUCCAAGAAUGGAAGUUUACAGGUCCGAUACAAGCUGAGUAAGGAUGGACUCCUUAUUUUCACCGUUGACUCUGGAAAUUUUGCCAACCGAGAGCUGCACCAUGUGAAGAUUAACAGAGAAGGCAGAGAGCUCAUUAUUCAGGUUGAUCAAGUUCUCAAACUCAAACACAACUUUUCUGAGAUUGAUUUUAAGGCCAUCAAAUCACUCACCUUGGGCAAGGUCACAGGUUGUGUCCAGACAAUAGAGAAAACGGAUGAGGAAGCACAAUGCAGGCUUUCAUGUCCAAGCCAACUCGAUUCAAUAUAGUUUGACACUGGACCCUGAAGUCUCAAAAGCAAACGCCUACGGUUUCACUGGCUGCAUGUCCUCUGUUCAGUACAACCACAUUGCUCCCCUGAAAGCUGCCUUACGCCAUCCCAGCGUGGCUCCUGUGACUGUCAAAGGCUCCUUGACUGAAUCCAGCUGUGCAUCCAUCAUGGAAGCUGAUGUGAACACAGUAACUGCAAUAUAUUCCUCAUCAGAUCCUUUUGGGAAGACAGAUGAAAGGGAGCCUCUCACCAAUGCAGUCAGAAGUGAUUCAGCUGUGAUUGGAGGUGUAAUAGCAGUUGUGAUAUUCAUCAUAUUUUGCAUCAUUGCUAUCAUGAGCAGAUUCCUCUAUCAGCACAAACAAGCACAUCGAAAUAGCCAGACAAAGGAGAAGGAAUACCCAGAAAAUCUUGAGAGCUCCUUUAAAGCUGACAUUGACUUGCAGAACACAGUGAGCGAAUGCAAACGGGAAUAUUUCAUUUGACGGACAACACAAUUUCUUCUUAUAUUUAAUCCCCUAACCUUCAUUUCUUUAUUCCUUUUUUCCUCCCUUUUUUGGUUUUGUUUUUUUUUUUUUUUUAAACAUUCAUGUUUUGGUAGCUUCUUUUUCAUUUGGAAAAGACCACCCUGCACAGGAAACACUGACAACAGUCACAGUGCCUCAUGCUCUGCACAGGAACCUGGCAGUCACAGUUUACUUCUGCAGCUCGAGAUCUGUUAUCUCACACUACACAAAAUAAGAUCCACAUGCACACCUGAUUUCUGCUGUGGGUUUCUGGAUGUUUCAAAGUCCCCACAUUUGUUUGUGUUUUUCUUUGGAGCCAUUUAAUUCAUCACUUUUACACUAUAGCUGGACUAUGUAAUGUAGAGGUAAAGUAGCUAAAUACAUAGCUCUACAGGUACUGGGACAGGAUAGAGGAAAAGAAUGAGACCAAAAUGCCUGAUUUAUUUUACAGGCUCAUUUACAACAAUUAAAAGAACCUGCCAAAUUCUCAAAUGAUAUGAAUUGAUAUAUAUCUGUUGAUUUCAAUGGUGUUACAUUAAUUUAUUCCAGUUGAGAAGCUGGUAUGAUGUAAGGAAAAAAACUGUCCUCACUAAGCUCCUUCCCCCAACCUCCUGUCCUUUUACUGUAACUUUUAGGCUUAUCAGUACUUUUCCAACAAUGUAUGUAUCAACAAUAAAUGUCAUUCCCGUGCACCUCUUUCAUCUCCAUCUCGUAAGGCUGGCUAUGUAGACCAAACAUACUCUAGCAUAACUCUAGCUGAAGCAUGGAAAAUAGUAGUUUGAAUCUCCAAGGGUUUUAGGAAGCUGCUAGGACUUAGGUGCUCUAUAUUUGUCUGAAACAUUAGAAAUGCAGCAUAUACUUGUUCAUGUCAUAUGGAGGAUUAUCAUGCAUUAAGGUUAAACACUGUUGCUGCUGUGGCAAAGAAAAAGUACAUAGAAAAAAAUAUUUUAAUCUUAGACAUGAGUCACACCUUCUGCCAGUUUUUCUAAAAAAGAAAAAAAAUCCAACUACUCAAAAAGAAACCCAAAACUGCAUGAAAGAUUGAUUGGUAUUUCCUGUUUGUAGAAAUUGGAAUAACUUCUCCAAAGCUAGAGAGAGGUCUGAUGUCACGUCUGGAAAGGUUAAUAUUUAAUCAACUCUGUUUACAAGGAAGAAAAUUAGGGAAACAAGUUAAAAAAAGAUCCCAAGUGUUCUACUUUGAAUUAAUCUUCUCUCCUGAUUUUUUCUAAAGUUUUCUUUCCUGACUGGGAACAAUACUGAAGUCUCGAAUCCUGCCCAUUUAACUUGUGCUGCGUGAAUUUCAGUGUGAGGCUGAAAAAGCUGCUUUUCAGUCACAGUCAUCUAGGGGUAAGAAAUUGAGAAGUCUCACCAAAGGAGGUUUUUUUAUACCCUGCUUGUGUCUCUGUGACAUAUUGCCCUCUCAGGGCUUCUGAGGAGUGUGCAGAAUUUGUUGUUAGAUUUGGAGGUUUCUGACAGAAGCUGAAUCAACUCAACAGCUAGGGAGAAAAAAAAAAAAAAAAAAAAAAUAAAAAAAAAAAAAAAAAAAAAAAAACAACAAAAACCAAACCAAACAAAAACCUACACCACAACUUAUAUAUUGCAGUGCUCUUGAUAAGAGUUAAUUCAAGACAGUUAAUUGUGCAGCUGAAUCUCUUUCUUUGCCCCCUACACACUUCUGCAGUCACCCUGGGGUUUCCACAUGGUGAUCUUUUUUUUACAUAGAUGAAAAUCAAAGAAUUUCGGUAUGAGGUAAUAACCCACAGCAAACUUGAGAUGAGGUUACAUGUGCAACAGGUGCUGUUUUUCCAGGCAGUGCAUUGCAAAGGUAUGUAUAUAUCUGGUUAUUGUUUUGAUGGGAGUAGGAGACAGACAAGAAAGAUUGAUAUGAUAUGAUAUGAUAUGAUAUGAUAUGAUAUGAUAUGAUAUGAUAUGAUGGGAUAUGAUGAUUCUUCACCACUUAUUUUGGAAGACUUAAUGAGAAGUAGUGUCCAGGGAAGAGAAAGAAAUCUUGAAAUUUUAUCACUCUCAUAUGAAGAGGAAUAUCUGUGGCCAGCCCAAUAACCAGAACUCUAACCAAGCAAUUUUAGAAAGCCAUUUAUAUUGAAGUUAGUAUUGGUGCCAUUCUUCUUCAGUCAUGAUUUGCAACAGCCCUUUUGCCUCAUGCUGGCUGUUUGCAUGAUACAUGAUUACCUGAGAGUGUUUCUGCAUGAUGAGAUGUGUAAUGAUGGACUCAUUAGCUGUGUUGCUUUAUGUUGCUUUAUCUUCUGCGGUGAAAUCCAGGGAAAACAAUUCUCUUUUCUUCUUCCUUUUUCAUUCCCUCAGAUGAAGCUGCUUUGUUUGGCAUGGCGGGAGGGGAGGAAUAAGUGAGCAUGUGGGCUCCUCUGCCCAUGUUUAAGUCGUCUUAUCAGAAAUGGCCUCUUUAUGAGACGUCUCUGAAGUCCUAACGUACUUAAUUGCCUUUGUGAAUAAUGGAAUAGGAAGGAUGGGAAAGCCCCCUGUAGCCAAACAAACAGAUCUAAAUAAUCCUUCUGCUUUCCUACAUGUUAGUUUCCAGGAAUAAAAUUACUACAAAGUGCAGCAAUAAAGCACAAAGCAGCUCCAGCAGUGGAGUAGCUGAAAAAAGACUGAGCAAUGAAGCAGAGUCCUCUAAUUUCUCAAGUGACUAAAUUACUUUCAGCCAUCUUAGGGCCUGAUUCUGCAGGAUGCUGAAUUUUCUUAAGGAGGAUCAAGUUCCCAUCGCUGAAUAUAGAUGUUAGUGCUGCUGCAGACAUCUCGGAUACAGGUCAGUGGUUUAGUCUGGGGCCAGUGUACAGAUGUAAGGAACAUGCUGUGUGCAAGACCCAGCCUGGCAAAACAGCGUAAGUGGUUUGUUUUUCCAUUUCUCCUUAUCCUCAUUUAAUAUAGGCUAGGCUGGUAAAACUCCCUGAAAAUUUAGCUACCUUGGUAUGCACCUGUGAAAAGAAAGAAUGCACAUAUCUAAAUGCAUGUGUGAGAUUACAGAAACACGUGUUAUACCUGUGGAUGUAAUGAGAUAUGAAUAUUUAUAUGCUACAGGGCUGGACAACUGAACAUAUUUAUAUGGACUUGCCAGUUAAAAUCCUAUCUUCUAAAUCAGGACAUCAAUAUUCUUCUUCUUAAGAGGUAACUAAAAGAUAUUAUAUGAAAUACCCUACUACUAAGUCUCUUUUUCUUUUCCUUUUUUUGGCUAUAAUGCUUUCUUUAGUGAGGGCAUAAUCUGAUUUACUUCAGUACCAGUUAAAGGCAAUUAAAAAUAUUUUUUUAAAAAAGAGAAGAAAUUCAUUUUUAAAAAAAUCUACCAGUGUUAAAAUAGCUUUCAUUCUCCACAGUUCAAAUUAGACCUUUUUUCCUGUCUAUUACAAACCAUUUCCGCUAUUUUUAUUAAAAUUGCUCUUUAAAUAGGAGUAUCUUCCCUUUUUUCUUUUAGCUAUUGUUCUAUUAAUAGAUAACCUUUUUCAUUAAAUGUGGGAGAUAAUACUUUUUACAUCUAAAACAUCAGGAUUUAUUUUAAUGAAAAACCUGAGCAUAUCAAAGAAUCAUUUGGAGGUGGUGUUUGGGUUUUCUUCCUUCUCCCAGUAAAGUUCCAUAACAGAAGUAAGGGACUGGUAGAAGGAUACCAAGUCUCUUUUUCUCUUGUGGUGAUAUGAUAUGCAACCUCUGAAAAUUAUUUUUGCUACACAGGGAAUUUUAGGCUAUGAACUUUAUAAGUCACUUAUUUAUUUAGAUAUGGAUUUAGGCACUGCAAAUUCCUGUUUUCCAGAAACUACCUGACCAAUAAUAGCCAUGCUUAUAAGGACAUUUAGUCAUGCAAAAUCUGAGUUGGAUGCCUAGAAAGAUUUUCUGAGAACCCUGGUGUCUGGCUGUUACAGAAACUGAAUGAAUGCUGCCUGUCAGAAAGUUAAAUCCCACUAACUUGCAGUGAGACAGAGGCUGCCACCUGUGUGAAGUGUGGGUUUUCAAAGAAAUUUAGUCUCUGAGGAUGUGGAUCAGCACUUGUCUCAAAUUAAUUUCAGUUUUAUUUCUGCUUCUCCCUUCUUGUGAAAUGUUUUGAAAUACUGCAAGAUAUUUAAAUAACUUUGAAAGUUGAGUCGCAGUUGUCUCUUGGAAAUAAAAUGUUGGUCUAAAGUAAGUCACCUAUUUAACUUGCAGUAAGUACUUUAUCUGUCCUUAUUCAUUUACUAGAGACAUGGCAGUAUGAGUGUUUUGAGUAAAUUUUUAACACAUACAUUUUUUUUUUUCCUUGUUCUUGCACAGCACUUAGGGUACAUCUGCAAUGAAAACAAAGCCAAACAAAACACAGGCUUUUAAGUCACAUUGGCUAAACCAGGUUUCUCAUCUGGAUUAAUAUAGCUGUGAAAACAAGCCAUUUAGGGCCGUAGUGUUACCAGAUUUCUUUUCAGUCAUGAGAUUCCCCUGACAUUUAAGUUAAAACUCGUAGUCAAAAUUCAAACAUGAGAUGCUUUUUCUUUGCUUAAUUUUAAUCUGAUCUAGCCAGACUUAACCCAUCCUAUUUAGCAAUUGCUCAGUUUUUACAGUGUGAGCCAAACUCUCAUUUUAAUGAGUUGUUUGUCUACAUUAGCAUUUAGCUGAUCACAUAUUUCACAUAUUGGGUGAGAAAUGAUCAAUGCAUCAUAGUAGUUUCAAUAUAGUGAGGGGAUAUGAAUCUUCUCCUAAUGAAGUUGGCUAUUGAUUUUGCUGAGCAUGAGAUUGAGACCUAUGAAAGCACCUGAAGAUUGCUUUUGUCUGAGUCUUUCAGGUUUGUUUCAUUUUGUAUUUGGUUUUACAGGUUACCUGUUUUACACUUGUCAUCCAGUUCUGUGGUCAGCGAGGACAGGGCAAAUGUCUCAGUCAUUCUUUAAACAAUCACUUUCUAGAGGUGCAUCUUUCCAUUGAUUGUAGAGACAAGGCAGGCUCCUAGCAACUGGUUAGCUACUUCUAGCAGAUUUUGCCUACAUAUAGGAAUCCUACACUAGUCUUGCAGCUCCAGUAGACACAUCUGCACAGGUCUUAAGAGAGAUUUGGUUUUUAUUGAGAUGUUGCUGGGGUCAAGGAAGGACACCUCUUUGCAUCUAAAAUUUCACUAGAGAUCUGUGCUUCGGAAAUGCACCUGUCUACUCAUAACCAAAUACAUGAAAAUUACUUUCUAGCCCUGCAUGUCUAGUGUCAUUUAAAAUGAACUAUAGAGUAUCUCUGCAGCUCCACUAGGGAUGUGAGUCUCUUUUCUCUUAUAUCUCGUAUCUGCUAGACACAAGAAGAUAUUUCUAAUACAUGUUGGCUUUCCAAAUUAUAGCAAGUGCUCAUCGAGAACCCCCAAGUUCUCAAUGAGAUGAAUCUUUAGAACAAAAUCAACCUUACUUUCCAUCAGCAUAAGCUGAUCAGCUGAAGUGUGUCCCUCACCUUAGUUUAACAAGAGUGUAACAGGGAGGAAGAAUUUGACCCUUUUGUGCUCCACUAUCUCGUGUCAUUGUUGUUGCUAUUACUUACACAAUGCUUACACUGAAGAAGACCAGUUUUAAGCAUUGUUCUGCAAUGCCAGCUUUUCACUGACAAAAAGGAGUUUUUAAUUUUUUUUAUAUUAUUAGUUUUUAGAAAGCAACACUUUCUUAAACACUUGAGUAAAAGCUGAGACCUUGUGAAGGUCUCUCAGACGAGGGCUAUUUCAAAGCUUUCAUGCAGUUUUGUAAUGUCUACUUAUCAAACAAGCCAAGUGAUACUGUUACAUCCCCUCCAAACCAAAGGCCUUAUCCAGAAUCUUUUGAAGUUGGUGGUAGAUCUCUUGGUUGACUACAGUUAGAGUUGCACCAUGCUCUUGCGGGUUUCUUUGAGGUUUUCUUUAUAAGUUAUCAUAGCUUCAAAACAUUUGUUCUCCUUGGUUCUGCAUUUUGCUGCGCUUCCUUUCCAAAGAAAAGUUCUCCAUGUCCCCUUUUAAUGGAGGUGGCCCAUCCUCUGUGCUCCUUUUGUACAUGAAAAUUCUAAACACACUCUUAUUUUGGGUCUGAAACAGCUUUUUUCUUUGGUUGUUUAUUUUGAGUCAUGCAUAUAGAAGUUUGAAUAUUUCUAUGUAUUGGUACUUAUUUUUGUGAUAUUUUGCACUAAGUUACUCUAACAAAAACUGGAAAAAAAGCACACUUUCUGGUGAACUAUUGUAAUUUGUAAGCUCGUUGUUUGUUGUUUGUAAUGUACUGAGUCUACAAGUCGAGCUAAGGAAGGAUUAAGGCAACAGUUUGUGUUCACAGUGUCACACCAUAUCUAGUUUACCCCUGUUUUCUUUCUCUGUGCUUUCUUCUUUACCAUGUAGGGCUUUCAAACUGCUGGUAGGAGCCAGAGGAACUUGUGUUAUGACUCUAAGGUUAUGAUUUUUCUCCUUGCAGUCAAAGAAACCAGAUAUUCAAAGAAAGCACACGAUUCUCAAAAUGUCACCUGGGUGCUCAGCCAGAAGGGAGGCUGCACUCCACCGUGAAGAAGUGGUCACUUACAGGUCGCCACCUCUAAGGGCAAACGGGGACAUUAACUCUCCAAAUGAGAAUUGCAAUGAGGCAGCACAAGAGGUAGAAGCUCUCAGAAAGGUUGUGCUGUUGGAAGCCAGGCACAGUAACCAUCAGGUGGAUAUGAGGGUUUCGGGUCUUUUUCCAUGAUUCCUUUUUGCCGUGGAAUGAAUUACUAGUUAGCCUGCCAAAACAUGGCCCUAAUUGUCCUGAUGUUCUGUAAAGUAUCAGAGAUGUUCUUCAAUCAUGGGAGAGGAUUUCAGACCUCUGGCUGAUACUAAUCUGACUCUCUCCAGUUAGAUCUCUGGAGCUCUUCCCAAAAGAAUACUCAAAGAAUUGGGGACAAUUUCCAUCAAACAAUCGUAACAUUUAAUGAAAUGUUUGGUACAAGAGGUGAUCCAGAGAAUGGUGUUUGCUUAGAGACUCUCCUCUCCCCAUCUCUUCCUCACUUAGGAUGCUUGUGGCAGCUUUUUUCUAAUCUACUGACUGCUGUUCACAUUGUAACAUCAUUUGCUUCUCGAUACACCAGUCAUUACUCUCUUCACGGAUUUCAAUCCCACAACCCUAAAGAGAGUUCGUCUGAUACGAUUUUGCAUGGGAAAUUAUUUACUCACUUUUGCAUGCCAUAGCCCUUUACAGUUCCUUCUUGCAUCAUUUAGCCAAACCAUUUUCUGACGUAUUUUGUCAUUGCUGCCAAUGUUGAGAACAUGUAUCAUUAAGAAAACUGAUUGCUUCUGAGGUAAAGCUUAGAUACAGCCAGUCACAGCCUGACAUCCCACACGCGAGACAGAGAAGUACUUGGACACCCAAGCCCACUCCACAAAAUUUCAGAUAGAGGUUAAGAGAGCAAACAGGUACAAGUUUUUUUAGGCAUCUAGCCAUAAAAGUCUCUGUGAGUAUUGCAAAUGAAAUAUUUAACAUAGACCAUUAUAUCUAAAUGAUAGUGAGAAUCGAAACCUCAUAGUACCUGAUCCACUUUGAAACCCACUUCGUGAAAGAAACAGAGCCAGCUUCAGACCUCAUUGUAGUCCUUUUGAGGUCAAUGUAGAUACACCAUAGAUGAAUUUAACCUUGGAUUGCUCUAGGUAAGGGCAGUGAUGAACUCCUACAAACUGAGGCUGACAUAUAUGAAUUCAAGUCAGGACCUUAUAUUCAUCAUCCCCAUCUGCCGUUAAUAGGAGUUGCAUUCACUGCAAUUAUGUGUGUCUUCUAGUAGAAGUGUGGAUAAAACUUGGGACAAGGCAAUGACCUUCAGCUCCACAUAAGCCCAUGACAUGGCUUAAGUCACCUUCAAGAGUUUCUGGAAAUGUGUGUAGGAGAAGUGUGAUCUGUGGGUGGUCUGUUGCCAACAACCUUGGAAGCCCACUCACUGACUUUGAAAGGAUUUUAAUGGAGUCCACCCCUGGGUGGACUGUUGUGAACUGUAUCCUAACCGAAAAAUGAAGGCACCCUAAAAAGAAAACAGAAGGCAAAAAUGAGCAGCUUCACAGGCUGUGAAAGCUAGCUGAGAUUAAAUAGUUAUAAUAAUAAAAAAUUGGCUCUUUCUGCAGAUGAACCCCUCAUCAUUCAUUUUACUUUGUUCUACUCAAAUUAUUUUAAAUAAAUCUCUCAGAACACUACUCAUUUCAAUUGCAAAGAAAAAAAAAAAAGACUACUUUUUUCUUUUAAUGGUUUGUCCAAGGGUAAUGCAAGAGUCUCUCAGUUACAGUAAAAAGCAAAAUGGAGAUUUAGAUUAUUCUGCUUUCACUAUCUGGUUUUCUGAAGAGAAUUCCACAGGACGUUGCCUCAGUCCAAGUCAGUUUUGUAGACAAUGUAACAUGUCUUAAUCCACCGUCCGGGGAUUGGAAAAAUUUAGCCUUAGCUUCUUUUGUUUUCUAUGGUUAUUGUUGUACAGAAGAAAGACUUAAACUGUAAAUAUUGUAUAUUUAAUAAAAAGAGACUUUUUGUAUGAUUUUGUGUGGAAGACAAA